rnacentral:rRNA from 1 species
UACGAAGGGGGCUAGCGUUGCUCGGAAUCACUGGGCGUAAAGCGCACGUAGGCGGAUCUUUAAGUCAGGGGGUGAAAUCCUGGAGCUCAACUCCAGAACUGCCUUUGAUACUGGGGAUCUCGAGUCCGGGAGAGGUGAGUGGAACUGCGAGUGUAGAGGUGAAAUUCGUAGAUAUUCGCAAGAACACCAGUGGCGAAGGCGGCUCACUGGCCCGGUACUGACGCUGAGGUGCGAAAGCGUGGGGAGCAAACAGG